UACGUAGGGUGCGAGCGUUAAUCGGAAUUACUGGGCGUAAAGCGUGCGCAGGCGGUUUUGUAAGCCAGAUGUGAAAGCCCCGGGCUUAACCUGGGAAUGGCAUUUGGGACUGCAAGGCUCGAGUGCGGCAGAGGAGACUGGAAUUCCUGGUGUAGCAGUGAAAUGCGUAGAUAUCAGGAGGAAUACCGAUGGCGAAGGCAGGUCUCUGGGCUGACACUGACGUCA
rnacentral:rRNA from 1 species